rnacentral:rRNA from 1 species
AGAGUUUGAUUCUGGCUCAGAUUGAACGCUGGCGGCGUGCUUAACACAUGCAAGUCGAACGAGAAAGUUCCUUCGGGAAUGAGUAGAGUGGCGCACGGGUGAGUAACGCGUGGAUAAUCUACCGGGGAGUGGGGAAUAACAGUUGGAAACGGCUGCUAAUACCGCAUACGCUGCAUAUAUAUCUAUGCAGGAAAGGGGGCCUCUGCAUAUGCUUCCGCUUUUCGAUGAGUCCGCGUCCCAUUAGCUUGUUGGCGGGGUAACGGCCCACCAAGGCGACGAUGGGUAGCUGGUCUGAGAGGAUGACCAGCCACACUGGGACUGGAACACGGCCCAGACUCCUACGGGAGGCAGCAGUGGGGAAUAUUGCGCAAUGGGCGAAAGCCUGACGCAGCGACGCCGCGUGAGGGAUGAAGGUUUUCGGAUCGUAAACCUCUGUCAGAAGGGAAGAAGUUGCAUGGGGCCAAUCACCUGUGCAUUGACGGUACCUUCAAAGGAAGCACCGGCUAACUCCGUGCCAGCAGCCGCGGUAAUACGGAGGGUGCGAGCGUUAAUCGGAAUUACUGGGCGUAAAGCGCACGUAGGCUGUAUGUCAAGUCAAGGGUGAAAUCCCACGGCUCAACCGUGGAACUGCCUUUGAAACUGGCAAACUGGAGUAUGUGAGAGGGCGGCGGAAUUCCUGGUGUAGGAGUGAAAUCCGUAGAUAUCAGGAGGAACAUCAGUGGCGAAGGCGGCCGCCUGGCACAAAACUGACGCUGAGGUGCGAAAGCGUGGGUAGCAAACAGGAUUAGAUACCCUGGUAGUCCACGCUGUAAACGAUGGAUACUGGGUGUUGGGUUUUAUUGACUCGGCGCCGUAGCUAACGCGUUAAGUAUCCCGCCUGGGGAGUACGGUCGCAAGGCUGAAACUCAA